GGGUGCGUAGCUCAGAUGGAUAGAGCAACCGCCUUCUAAGUGGUUGGUCACAGGUUCGAGUCCUGUCGCACCCG
rnacentral:tRNA from 2 species